CCUACGGGAGGCAGCAGUGGGGAAUAUUGUACAAUGGGCGGAAGCCUGAUCCAGCAACGCCGCGCUGAGGGAUGACGGCCUUCGGGUUGUAAACCUCUUUCNGCACAGGACGAAGCGGAAGUGACGGUAUGUGCAGAAGAAGGACCGGNCAACUACGUGCCACCAGCCGCGAUAAU
rnacentral:rRNA from 1 species